rnacentral:rRNA from 1 species
GAGUUUGAUCCUGGCUCAGAACGAACGCUGGCGGCGUGCCUAACACAUGCAAGUCGAACGUGAUCCAGAGCUUGCUCUGGUGAAAGUGGCGCACGGGUGAGUAACGCGUGGAUAACCUACCCUGGUAUCCGGGAUAACAUUCCGAAAGGGGUGCUAAUACCGGAUAAGCCUACGGGCUCUUUGGAGCUUGCGGGAAAAGGUGGCCUCUAUUUAUAAGCUACUGUAUCAGGAUGGGUCCGCGUACCAUUAGCUAGUUGGCGGUGUAACGGACCACCAAGGCGACGAUGGUUAGCUGGUCUGAGAGGAUGAUCAGCCACACUGGAACUGAGACACGGUCCAGACUCCUACGGGAGGCAGCAGUGGGGAAUUUUGCGCAAUGGGGGAAACCCUGACGCAGCAACGCCGCGUGAGUGAUGAAGGCCUUUGGGUCGUAAAGCUCUGUCAGAGGGGAAGAAAUGAUAUAGUGCUAAUACCACUUUAUCUUGACGGUACCCUCAAAGGAAGCACCGGCUAACUCCGUGCCAGCAGCCGCGGUAAUAC